CUCUUUGCGGAGACGCUGAACAGUCGAGAUGUAGGACACCAGAGGAGUAAGAGGUCCCUGGAAACCUUUCUCCGAUUUUGGUGCCCGCCAAUACGUUUACUGGAACACAGCCACACUUCACCCACUCACACUUUAGAGACGUGGUGGGAAUGGCACAGACCUCAUCACAGCCGGAAUGAAGAGGUCUGGGAUCUCCACACUAAAUAAAAGAUCUGCUGGGCAUUGACACAUCUAAGACAUCCUUGCAUUCAAAACCAGAAGCACGAAGAAAUUCACCAAUAGCCAGGAGCCAGAUGAUGGCCAUGUGAGCACUUUACAGCAUCAGUCUAGGCACUGCAAUCUAAGGUGUCCAUGUUCCUAGGACCUCUACUCUCCAGGUGUCUCCACUGUGCCUUCUGCUUCACCCUCACAGCCUGGUGCACUGUCCUCUGCGAAGCUGCCUGCAGAGACCACGCCCUUGCCUCCCUGCUUAGCUUUGGGCCUUUCUCUGAACUCUGGACGGGACUCUAGUGGGGACUGGAACCCCACAGAGGAGAUUUAUGAGACUGGUGAUUUUUUAACUCUUCAUUUCUGGAUGCUUACAAGGCCAACAUUACUUGGAAGAUGCCAAGGUACACCAAAGUUUGCGCAGUAACCAGACUCUUGCUCUACUGCCCUGGUCUCUGGACGGCCAAGUAUGGAAAACACUUCCAGAGGCAACAGCCAGAGACCUUAGGUACCUCUUUUUUUUUUUUUUUUUAAGUUUUCAAACAAGUUCAGACCUUACAGUUUCAAACUGCUUCUGGAAAUCAUUACAUGUCCCAAGGGACCUUUCCUAUUGUCUCAGUGCAAAGUACUUGGCUUCUUGAUCUCCUUUCUCUAUCCCCACUUGGAAACAGGCUCUCACUAUGUAGCUCUGGCUGGUUUAGAACUCUGUGCAGACCAGGCUAGCAUUGAGCUCUCAGAAAUUCACCUGCCACUGCAUUCCAAGUGCAGACCAGGCUCUGGUUUCUUCUAACACGUCUAGAGUCUUGGCUUUGGAUUUCUAAGACCCCGCCUCCCCACCCCCAUGAACGCUGUUUCAGGUAUUUUUGUUUUGACUUGCUCCCAAUUCUUACCCUAGACUUGUUUAGGGAAAGUUAGCUAUAACCAUGCCACAGCCAGGAUGCUGGGCUGCCUGGGAACUUCCUUCAGCAGGCUGAAUAGUGAGUAACCUCUGAAUUAAAUCACAGUCUCAGGGCAUGUGCAAAACAGAAAAAAAAAUUGAUGCAAUAUGUAACUCCUCCACCCCUAUUCUCACCCUUAGAGCAAACCUAGGAGCCCAAUCUUCACUGUGUGUAUGAGCAUGCACACACACACACACACACACACACGCGCACGCACGCACGCACGCACGCACGCACCGAGAACAUCAGUGUUCCAGCUCUGUAUGCUGAUACCCCUACUGCCCACCAAGCCCUGCUUGCCACAUUCUGGAGCUUUUCUGAAGUUGUCCAACUUUCAUUUCUAAAGAGGCCAAGGAAAAAACACCCUGCCCCUGAUUACAUCAAAGACCUGGGAUUGAAAUCCCACCAAUCACUGAGUUUGCCCCAGAGUAAGGUUGCAGAAUCCUACCAAAUCAUGAGGUCCCUAAGCAUGAAAUCCUACCAAUCCCUAGACACCCUGGAAAGCUCCACCCAAGAAAAAAAACUCUAUAUAAACUCUGUACCAAGUUCAAUAUGCUGCUGCUUCUCACCCUUAAAGGUAGCCACCUGGUGGUUUCUUGUGCAUGUGACACCUUCUUCAGAUUAGAGCCCAGAUGUAGCAACUUUUAUCCAGAGCCAGAGUAGAGCAGAGUUGUUACACUGACCUUAGUAAAGCUGUAACACUUUUGCUGAGGAAACUUCCUUCCAGGGGAGCCAAGCUGUAAUACUAUAACACUUCUUGUUACACUUCCAUUGGGGAAACCUUUCCUUGGGGCAAAGCUAUAAGCUGCUAGCUGCUAUGCUUACAGUGACUUUGUGGUAUUCAUUGGCUUCCAACUACCAGGAUACCUUUCCAUCAGAGCUGUAAAGCUUACAUUCAGUCCAAUAAAUGUUGUUUAGUUUAA